ensembl:snRNA U6 U6 spliceosomal RNA
GUGCUCGCUUUAGCAGCACCUCUACUGAAAUUGGAAUGAUACACAGAAGAUUAGCAUGGCCGCUGCACAAGGAUGACACACACAUUCGUGAAGUAUUCCAUAUUUUU